rnacentral:rRNA from 1 species
UACGAAGGGGGCUAGCGUUGCUCGGAAUGACUGGGCGUAAAGGGCGCGUAGGCGGAUGUUUAAGUCGGGGGUGAAAGCCCAGGGCUCAACCCUGGAAUUGCCUUCGAUACUGGACAUCUUGAGUACGGGAGAGGUGAGUGGAACUCCGAGUGUAGAGGUGAAAUUCGUAGAUAUUCGGAAGAACACCAGUGGCGGAGGCGACUCACUGGCCCGUUACUGACGCUGAUGCGCGAAAGCGUGGGGAGCAAACAGG